CGUGCACAAGGCUAAGGAGGGAGAAGGGAGGGAGGACAGAGAGCGAAAUAGAGAGAAAAAACGAGGCUGUGAAGACAGGCGAAAACACAAAAAGAGAGGAGGAAGAGGGGAGCGGAGAGACACCUCCUCUAUCCAUCUCGGUCUACCCUUUGGUAUCCGUCUGUCCCAGGCAGUUUCAAAGCUCCUGUAGAACAUUCCAGAAAUACAGCCACGGACCACAAUGAGCCGUAAAGCUUAAAUGGAAAAACAAAGAGAGAAACCUAGUGGAAAUAGACCAUACAUCUCAAAUUCAACCCUGCCCUGAUGCUGCUUUAAGGACUGAGCCUGCAAACACUUUCCUCUUCCCUGACUGAUGAUUUAACUGAGAGUAAUAGUCCACAAAAUCUAGGCUAUGCUUUCUGAACAACAGAGCUAUAUAUAGUCUAGCUGUUUAUCCAUUGAGCAAAUUCUUAAUAUCUAUGUGAAUUGAAUUGGUUUCGACCUUCUUCACCAUGACAAGGACUCAGGGAUGUCAUUGUCAUCCUUUAUAGCAAGAGCCUAUGUUAUUAUUGAAAAGGGUAAUUGUGGCACACUUACCAAUGGGUUUAGCAACCAUUAAAGCUUUCAAUUAACGGUCAUAAAGAGAACGUCUCGGCUCUUUGUCGAAACGUUGUCCUUCAGAAUCCAA